rnacentral:tRNA from 1 species
UCCUUGGUGUAGUGGUUUGAGUGUUGGACUACAACUCUGGAGACCCAGGGUUCGAUUCCUUGCUAAGCCA